AGAGAGAAAAAGUAAAAGACCGAAGAAGGAGGCUGGAGAGACCAGGAUCCUUCCAGCUGAAUAAAGUCAGCCACAAAGCAGACUAGCCAGCCGGCUACAAUUGGAGUCAGAGUCCCAAAGACAUGGAACCCACCCACUGAUCCCCAUCCAUCCCUAGUACCAGUCACGGCUGCUCUAGCAUUUCGGCCUUGUCAACUACUGCAGGCCCUGAUCAAGGAGGCCUCUGUUCAUGGGGCUUGUUAGAGUGCUGUGCAAGAUGUCUGGUAGGGGCCCCCUUUGCUUCCCUGGUGGCCACUGGAUUGUGUUUCUUUGGGGUGGCACUGUUCUGUGGCUGUGGACAUGAAGCCCUCACUGGCACAGAAAAGCUAAUUGAGACCUAUUUCUCCAAAAACUACCAGGACUAUGAGUAUCUCAUCAAUGUGAUCCAUGCCUUCCAGUAUGUCAUCUAUGGAACUGCCUCUUUCUUCUUCCUUUAUGGGGCCCUCCUGCUGGCUGAGGGCUUCUACACCACCGGCGCAGUCAGGCAGAUCUUUGGCGACUACAAGACCACCAUCUGCGGCAAGGGCCUGAGCGCAACGGUAACAGGGGGCCAGAAG
rnacentral:sRNA from 1 species